rnacentral:rRNA from 1 species
CAAGGUUUCCGUAGGUGAACCUGCGGAAGGAUCAUUACUGAGGUU